GUUUGGGCUGUGGCACAGAGUGACAGCACACACGAGCCUCUCACCUCCCGAGCCGGUCGCCGAUCCAGCCCACGGUGAAGGAGGAGACCAUGCCACCGAUGGCGAACACGGACACGGACAGGGACCAGAGCAUGAUCAGCCCCUGAUGGGUCCGGCAGCCAAGUUACAGCACUCAUUGGAUGAUGCUCUCAGUCAGCCAGGCUUCACAUGGGCACAAAAUGUACUUUCUACAGAGGAAGAGCAAGAGAAAAAACAACAAAGAUGAGUUUAAAUACCUUCACAAUGGGACUGGCAGGAUUUGACAAUUACCAGGCUGCUAAGGCUUGAAUCACAAAACAAAUGGGAGCCCUGACCCAAGACUGAAACCUUCGGGCACUGUGAAAACCUUGCCAGGACAGGUGUCCCCCUCCGAGAUUCCCAUGUACCCCUCUGGGAUCCCCAUCCUGUUGCAGGUGCCUGGCACAAAGAAGACGAUGCUUUCCCUCCCUACUCUUCCCAGACUACUGGAAGUGGAGGGAUCAAAGGCCACCCACAAACCACGAGCAGGGCAGCCUUUGCAUGUCCUGCCACUGCUGCUUAGAGCAGAACCUUCCCAUGAUCAGCUUUCUGAGCAGCUGGAGCAGUGCUGGGAGGCAUGGUGAACAUCACUCACCUCCCCAGGAGCAGCCCUUCGACUUCCAUGGGAACUGUGGAUGCCAAAGGCUGGAAGCCCCACAGCCACACGUAUCCCUUGGCCAGGUCUCCUAGCAAAAGGCAUAGAGGUAUCCCGGGGUUUUCCCAUCCUUCCCUGGCCCCUCCUACCCGCCCUGCCUCUGCCUUUGAGCCCCUGGCUUGUGCCAGCUGGGCUGUGACGCGCUCCUCCACAGCUGGGCCCCAGGCAAUGUAAGCACCUCUCGGUGGUACUAACAGACUCAGACCCUGUGGUUCUCUGAACAGGGGCUGGAUGUGGAUGUGGUGAUUAACAGAGGGCAGCUUUAGGCUGUUCUUGAGCCUUAUGGAUGGGAAAGAUUGGUGUGUACAUCUUCCUCUCACUGCAGUCACUUCCCAAAGGGGCUGAUUGUUAGCUUGGUAGAGAGAAGCACAAUAUUCCUACAGGAUAGAGAACCAGGCCUUUGUUUCACCAGAAUGAAUGACCAGCCCAUCAAAUCAUCUAAAAGCCAGUUGUGAUCAGUCCAGAGGGUGCAGGGCAGAGGCACAGCACAGCCCAAAGCAACACUGACACCAUGGCUGGUGAGCCUGGCCAUGCAGUGUUUAGGUGAUUGGCAAACAGGGCCUGCAUUAUUGCUAAUGCUUUAUUUAAAUAAUAAAGUGCAAGAACUGUGCAUAAUGUUAGGCAGAAUUGCCAUGCUUAUUGCCUACUCUGUGUUGUGUCUAGUGUAAUUGGUGCUGUUGAUAAUCUGACUACCGUGAUAAAAGCAAUGGGCUAAAGUUUAUGGUGGGGCUCUGCUUUUGAACAGCUGAACACGCUUGUCACCUCAGUGGAAGGAAUUCAAAGAUUCCAGAGGGGCUGUGAGGCUAUCCGCAGGUGCUGGGGCAAUUUGCACAUCCAUUUUACUGCCUCUGGGUCAUUCAGAAACAGCUUUGAUGUUAAAAAAAAAAAAAGGAAAAGUAUUCCAUAAACCAAAAUAAAACAAAGGAAAAAAGGUAGAUCUGGUCUGCAAUACUCUGACUCUCUAAGAGCAAGCUGAUGUAGCACGUCAGUGACUGGCACAAAACCAAAAUCAUGUUCAUUCAUUUCUCCUCUCUAAGCACAUCAGCUGGGGCAGGCAGCAGUGCUGGGGCCACAUGUGAGACAGCGGCUCAGGCUGAUAAAACACAUUUAGGAGAGAGAAUUUGGCGCAUUUACAGCACUGCUGUAAAGAUACCAGAGGUUAAUGAGCCCCUUCCCACCCCCCUGCUCUGGGUGGUGCAGCAUCUCCCAGGCGAGAAAAACUGGGAAGCAAACCCAGCAAACCUCUCCAGCUGCAGGUCCUGCCUGCAGCACAGGGCAGCACAGGGCAGCAGCAGCUGUGCCAGGCACCCUGUGCCAGGAAAUGCAUCCUUACUGCUGAGGAGUCUCUGCUGGAUCUCCUCUGAGCCCCCAGGUGGGUGGCUUAGCCCAGACACGGGCAGGGUAUGAUGUGGAGCUCCAUCCCACACCUUUGGGAACAGGCAGGUUCAGUCUCUGCUGGCCUACAUGAUGCUCAUGCUGGCCCCAGUUUCAGAGCAUCAAAUUGUAGCACAAGCAGGGAAAGACCUUAAGUGGGCUCAUAUCGAGACAAUGAACUGCAGCACAACUUCAAUCAUUUCCAGCAACCAGUCCAGCUCUGGGGUUGGGGCCAGGGUCACCUUAAGCAUCCCCCAAAAUACACACUGUCAACCCACAAACCAUCUCACAACAAGAAAAAGGACAUUUGAUAAUAAUUCUGAAACAGGCUGGAAAAGAUUCAGUUCCCACAAGUAGCUGCUACAGCCUUACCUCUGAGCAUCCUUCACCUGGCAGUGGUACCCAACAUCUCCCCAGGGUGGUGAAGCUAACCACGGCCCUUGCAUGGCCUCAUACCAGCUCUCAGGGCUUUUCUUCCAUUUACCAUGACUCACCCCUGAAGUUAAACAAUAUUUCAUAGCAACUCUGUAAAUAAUUGAAUCUGUGACAGGCUCAAGCGACCCCUGUAUGCAUAGGUAUUACUGCUUUUUCCUCCUGCAGCACGGCAUAGCUGAACAAAUUUCCUUUCCUGGGUAAAAAGUCCCAGAAGCAGGGUUUUAAAAUGAGCUGCAGGUUUUAUUCUUUAAAACACUAGUAAUAAGUAGUUUCUGAGAGCAUUAAUCAACCAUAAGCACAUUUUACUUACAGCAAAAGACAAGCAAAUCAAAGCUAGUAACAUUUGGAGGGGAAAUGUCUUUAUAAUAAUCAUAGGUUGAUUUUGUAGAAGAGGAGUUUUCAGGUGGUGAUGGUCCAUCAAGAAAUCCCUUGGCCACUGCUCACUGCUGGGCAGCAUCACAAGGGAUGUGCCCCACCUCCCUGCAUUUGUCCUGUUCCAAAACCACCUUCCCAAGAGUCUCCAGAGGAAGAGCAUUGUGACUGGGAGCUCUGAAAAUCCCCUUUACCUCCAUGUCCUCCAACACCCCAGGUUUUAUUUACCCAGACAUAAAAGGCAUGGCUUAAUGGUGAAGUUUUGUGUUUUAUUGUGGUUGGCACCAGAAAAGCAUUUGCUCUGUGUUAUCUCCAUACACACAUGCCAUAGACAAGACUGUGGUAAUAUCGGCUUCUGUGAUUUUUGUUUCAAAUGACUCUGAGAUUAAAAAAAAAUACAUUCACAAACCAUGAGUCAUUUAAACUCAACGACUGCCUGUGACUUCAUCACUGUAAUGCAAAAACCCAUAAUAACAAAAAUCAUCCAAAGCUGUGCAUUUGUCACUUGAAGUAGAACAAAAAACACCCCAAAACAGUUAUCAGUUUGCAACACAAUAAAAGCUCUGGGCUUUAUUUGAUUUGUAUUUUAACCACAAUGAGAAUACAAAGAGCUGGUGGCAAUCAGUGUUUGUGAUGGGAUUUGAGUAGCAGUAUUGUGAUUCUGUGGCCAUCCCUACACUCUCCAGGCUGCACCAGCCCAACAGGAGGGUGCCUGGUGCUGGAAGAAGGCACCACAAAGCACAUCCCACCUGUUUUUCCC